rnacentral:rRNA from 1 species
UACGUAGGGUGCAAGCGUUGUCCGGAAUUAUUGGGCGUAAAGGGCUCGUAGGCGGUUCGUCACGUCGGGAGUGAAAACUCGGAGCUUAACUCCGAGCCUGCUUCCGAUACGGGCAGACUAGAGGUAGGCAGGGGAGAGCGGAACUCCUGGUGUAGCGGUGGAAUGCGCAGAUAUCAGGAAGAACACCGGUGGCGAAGGCGGCUCUCUGGGCCUUACCUGACGCUGAGGAGCGAAAGCGUGGGGAGCGAACAGG